GUGCUGGCUUUGGCCGCACAUAUACUAAAAUUGGAAUAACACAUAAGCGAGGCUCCUGUCCAAGGAUGACAAGCAAAUUCAUGAAGCAGUCCAUGAUUUU
ensembl:snRNA U6 U6 spliceosomal RNA